rnacentral:rRNA from 1 species
UACAGAGGUCUCAAGCGUUGUUCGGAUUCAUUGGGCGUAAAGGGUGCGUAGGUGGCGGGGUAAGUCAGGUGUGAAAUCUCGGGGCUCAACCCUGAAACUGCACUUGAUACUGCUUUGCUCGAGUACUGGAGAGGAGAUUGGAAUUUACGGUGUAGCAGUGAAAUGCGUAGAUAUCGUAAGGAAGACCAGUGGCGAAGGCGAAUCUCUGGACAGUUACUGACACUGAGGCACGAAGGCCAGGGGAGCAAACGGG